UCUGCCCUAAUGGCCAUUACUAUCCAGUC
rnacentral:piRNA from 2 species